GAUGAACGCUGGCGGCGUGCCUAAUACAUGCAAGUCGAGCGAACAGACGAGGAGCUUGCGCCUUUGACGUUAGCGGCGCGCGGGGGAGUAACACGUGUAUAACCUACCUAUAAGACGGGGAAAACCUCGGGAAACCGGAGCUAAUACCGGAUAAUAUAUUGAACCGCAUGGUUGAAUAGUGAAAGACGGUUUUGCUGUCACUGAUCGCGGGUUCCGCGCCGGAUUAGCUAGUUGGUAAGGUAACGGCUUACCAAGGCAACGAUGCGUAGCCGACCUGAGAGGGUGAUCGGCCACACUGGAACUGAGACACGGUCCAGACUCCUACGGGAGGCAGCAGUAGGGAAUCUUCCGCAAUGGGCGAAAGCCUGACGGAGCAACGCCGCGUGAGUGAUGAAGGUCUUCGGGUCGUAAAACUCUGUUAUUAGGGAAGAACAAAUGUGUAAGUAACUCUGCGCGUCUUGACGGUACCUAAUCAGAAAGCCACGGCUAACUACGUG
rnacentral:rRNA from 1 species